UCAUUCCCAUACUUAAUGAAUUAUUGUUUCAUCAACCCAAUUGUAUAUAUUUUUUUCCAAUGACCCUCAUCAAAUUUCUUGAAAAAAAGAAAGAAAAAGGAAUGCACGCGUAUAAGCAGGGUUGAAUGCCUUUUGGGCAUUUGGAGAUGGGCUUGCAGUGACCGGAAGCUUACAGGGGACAGCAAACACAAUCCGAUGAAGUGAGCAAGAACUUCCUUGGCUUCUGUCCAAUCACUCAACGGUGGUUUUGUCACAUUUCAUCAAGUUGAUUUCCCAUACCUCCAUAAGUCUACAGUCCUUAUCACGUUUAUCUCUUAACCCUUUCCCCUGUUCACCUUCCCGGGUCACAAUCCAGCCUCCUGGCUAUUAUGACUAAUCGAUUCUCUGUUUACUGGAUCCUAUGCAUAUUAAUUUCUUGGUGUCCAAAUUAGGUCUUUGAAUAAUGGGCCUGUCUAAUACGUGUCUUUAGAGGAACGCAUGUUCACUGUCGACUAUCCCAUUUUUCAACCAUGGAAUCAAACCGCUGAUAAUUCACUGUUAGACUUUUUUUUUUUUUAAGUCUAACAAUCCUUGUUGCGAUUAAGCUCCUUUUCAAGUUUGUGGGCAAAAAAAAGAAUUAGUCAAAGUGGCAGUAACCGAGGUCGACUAAAUUUGUUGUUGAAUGGGCCCAAUUUUAUUUCUCCACUUAGGUACAUCUGAAAAUAUGGUUCAUAAGACAUAGCACCCUGGCGUGGUCCAGAAUAUCCGUAGGUUACAGCGAGGAUUCAGGGGCCUUGAGCUGAGCUGUUCUUGCUAGAAAAUUGGAAAAAGGUCUGAAUAGUCCUUCUCAACGUGACUCGUGGUGUUGUGCAAGCGCAUUUAUGACAUGUGAGGAUACAGAAACCGCAAAGCACACUGUUUGAAUUGCAUUCUUGUACUCGGUUCAAUGCUGUGCUGCUCAGUUAUUUGACAAAUCCAUGGAUCUUCUUUCUAACAUGGUCCACUUUCAAGAUAUAUGGAGGGAGCUUGCAUUCAUGGUUCAUUCAUUUCCAUAGAUCUUCUUUUCUCUCUGUCACAUGGAUACACAGUGCAUGCCUUCGUCUUCUUCCUUGUACAAAUGUCACAGUAAUUCCAUCACUUGAUGGAUGUACGAAGUAACUCCCUUCUCUUAAUCAGUCCUUUCUCUGAUUCUUUUUGAAACUUCUCUUUCAAUUGAUGCCAGUGAUGCACAGAUUUAACCAUCAGAUUCUUUUCUUCCAGCUGUGGUUAUCUUUCUUGUGCCUGCAAAUGGCAGCAAGAGCAAAUGAAAAUUAUAACUCGAAGACCUUUAGUAACCAAGGCAGAGAAUCGCUGAUGAAGUCAAUCAAUGGCCUACCGAUUCUUCACUCCUAUAUUCACCUCGCUAAUUUCUGUUGGCGGGACUCAAGCAACUGAUCAACCCAAUCAAUGGCUUACUGCUUCCAUGAUAUGUAUACGAUGAUUAUGUUGUUAAAGCCAUGUUUAGAAAUGCAAUAAAAUGCUACGUUUAUUUGGACAUCUCCUUCUGUUCCUCUUGGCAACACAGUAUUACUUUUGUAUAGCAACAUGUUCCUAGGCAAGUUACUUCAAUGGAUACAUAAUUACACAUGAAUGCUGACAAUGAGGGACUAAUACACAGGAUUACCACUAGCGAUCGAGGUGAUGGCAGUUGCGUUCGGAGGGUGGUCAGGAUUGGAGGGAAGCAGUGGCUGGGAAAAAUUCCCAGCUACAAUUCCUGUGAUGAUUUUUGCUUUGGUGUAUCAUGAUCCAGCACCUGUUCUUUAUGCUUAUUUGGGUGGUGACCUUAAGUGUCUAAGCUAAGGGCUUCAGUUUUGCUGGGUAGCAUCGUUCCUUUUCUGGCAUUGCUUGUUUGGGAUGCGAUUGCACUUGGCCUUUCUGAUCAGGCUGGUCAUGUUAUCGAUCCAGUUUAAUAAUUUCUGAUGAGGUAAAUUAAGUGUAGAGAUGCUCAAUAAAUUUCUUGUUACGUAGCUCAUAGAUUAACUAACAGAUGAAUAAAUUCUCUAUGGUGCGUGGUUCUUAUGCAUCGGUGAGGGGUGGAGCGGGGUCCAAGACCCAUAUUAUUGGCCCAUCAUACCAAAGCUCAAAUUUAAGUCACAGGUACUUUUAGGAGAAAGUUACACCAAGUAAUUUGCUUUUCCUCUUCCUCUGCUACAAUAUCAAGGAUUUUCUCCAUUUGCUAGCUUCACAGAUAAUUUCAUUACCUUCAUGAGUAAGAUCACGUCCUUCGCUACGAGCUUGUACAUAUACUUCUAGAGCUACUUGAUUAGCAACGGCACCAAGUACAUUUCUCCAAGGAUACCAUAAAAUUCCUCCACCGAAUUGUAGUAUGGGAUCAUCUCCAAAGAUCUCGGUUAGAGUAGGCAUAUACCAAACAUGAAUACCCCCUGAAGCAAUGGCCAGAACCCCUGAUAGAAAGAUCCAAUCUUGAGUGAAAUAAAUAUCGCGGCUUCGAUUUGUUUUAAGCUUAAGUUUUAGUUUAAGAGAAAUUGAAGUAACAAGUAAAUAUUCUUCAUUUACUGUUAUUUUUUAUGAGGAGAUUGAUUGUGAAAGGAAUAAGAAAGAGUUUAGGGUUUUUAUUUUGAUUUAAUGAUAUAAUAAUUUAAGAGUUUUAAUUGA